GGCGGCGUGCCUAAUACAUGCAAGUCGAGCGAACCGAUGAAGAGCUUGCUCUUCAAAGGUGAGCGGCGGACGGGUGAGUAACACGUGGGCAACCUGCCUGCAAGAUCGGGAUAACUCCGGGAAACCGGGGCUAAUACCGGAUAAUGCAUUUCGCUGCAUGGCGGAAUGCUAAAAGGCGGCUUCGGCUGUCACUUGCAGAUGGGCCCGCGGCGCAUUAGCUAGUUGGGGAGGUAACGGCUCCCCAAGGCGACGAUGCGUAGCCGACCUGAGAGGGUGAUCGGCCACGCUGGGACUGAGGCACGGCCCAGACUCCUACGGGAGGCAGCAGUAGGGAAUUUUCCGCAAUGGGCGCAAGCCUGACGGAGCAACGCCCGCGUGAGUGAGGACGGCUUUCGGGUUGUAAAACUCUGUUCUUCGGGAAGAACGGCGGUCGGGUGAAUAGCCCGAUUGCGUGACGGUACCGAAGGAGAAAGCCCCGGCUAACUACGUGCCAGCCGCUGC
rnacentral:rRNA from 1 species